rnacentral:lncRNA from 1 species
UUGUUGACUAACACACAUGUAACACAAGAACAGAUAGUCAAGGCACUUUUCCACCAUAGUCUUUAUUUGCCAAGUCAAAGGCAAAUGUGGAUGAACCUACAUAAAGUGGGCAUGGUAGCAGGAACAUGAAUUCGGUUGAAGCUUCAUGUUCUUAGUGCCGAAUCAAUGUGAAGAGAGGAAGAGUACUCACGAGGAUAGAUCUCCGGGUAGACAAGCCGAUUUGGGCACAGUGGGUAGCAGCCAAGCAGGCUUGCUUCCAACCUGCACAUCGUUCAGGUGAGUGUCAGCCACUUUUUGUGCAAAGUAGUACUUUUCAAACUGCUUUAAAGAGGUACGAAUAGGCACCGUCACAAGCAAUCCUUAAUGGGCUUGUCAACAUCUACAACUGAAUGCACUGCCUUCCCAUUUGUAUGCUGAUGACAGGUCACACAAGAAGGCAGUGACGUGUAUUCAAGACAUAAUUUUUG